UUUCUUCAUUUCCCUUCAGAGAACACAAUGGCAGAGCCCAACAGACCUCAGAGGAAGAUGUCCCGUACGGGACACUCUCUGUAUCUUGUCCUCGGUCUGCAGAAAGGAGCCUCCCAGGACGACAUUAAGAAAGCGUACAGAAAGCUGGCCUUGCGCUAUCACCCAGACAAAAACCCGGACAAUCCUGAGGCUGCAGAGAAAUUCAAGGAGAUAAACAGCGCUAAUUCUACUCUGAGUGAUGAGAACAAGCGCAGGAUUUAUGAUGAAUAUGGCUCCAUGGGCUUGUAUGUGGCCGAGCAGUUUGGGGAAGAAAGUGUCAAGUACUAUUUCCUGAUGUCAAAGUGCUGGUUCAAGGCACUGUUGAUUUGCUGCAGUCUCGUGACCUGCUGCUGUUGCUGCUGUUGCUGUGGGUUUUGCUGUGGCCGGUGUAAACCUCCCGAGGAGGACGAUUCCUAUAAGUCUGUGAAUCCUGAAGACCUGGAAGCUCAGAUCAGAGCAGAAGAUGAUAAUCCAAUCAAUGUCCAGCCUUCCCCGGGACCCCCGAUUCAUCCUGAGCCCCCACAGCAGAAAUCCUAACCAGGUGGCACGCUGUGUGAUCCGCUGCUCUGCAGCUCUGUUGGAUGGGAGGCCUCUCUCAUCGAUCUGGAGACCCAAAUUAGUGCUGAGAAGGAGAAGGAGAAGGAGAGUGCGACUCAUCCCACCUCUCUGCCGAUCCUCCGUCAGCUUCAGUGGCAGAAGACAAUAAACUCAUCCUCCAGUAUGCCAGCGGUGCAUCCCGCCGUUAGCAUUUAAUCAAGGAGCGGUUUAUAACAGCUAAUGACUUGAACUGAAUGGGAGGCUAACCACUGUGUGGAGCUGAGAUACAGCCCCUGCUUUCUGUAUGACCAAAAACAACCCGAUUGCCAAGUUUUUCCAUAACCUCUGCCUAUGUUCUCCCUGACUGAUGCCCUCUGCCAAUGUUCUCCCUGACUGAUGCCCUCUGCCAAUGUUCUCCGUGAUUAAUUCCAUCUCCAAAGUUCUCCCUGACUGAUGCCCUCAGCCAAUGUUCUCCCUGACUGAUGCCCUCUGCCAAUGUUCUCCCUGACUGUUCCCCCUAUGCCAGGUUUUCCUUGCCCUCUGUUGUUCUGUCUAAUGCCCUCUGUCAUGGUUCUCCCUGCUGUCCACAGCCUUUUUCCCUCUGCCAAUGUUCCUCCUUUACUUUGCCAUUGCCAUCACUGUCCGUCUCCCUUUGCCAAGGUCCUCCCUCCCAUUGCCAUCUGUUAUAUUUACCAAUACCUUUUGUUAACAAAGGUUUUAAAGUUCCCUUUUACUCCAUUGGGCUAACGCCAUCCGUUGCGUUAACAGACUCAGCUGUAUAUUGGUUGAUAAAGAAAUGUGUCUACGGAGGGCUCAGUGACGAAUAACGGUUUCUAUUUUCACACAAGACUUUAUUAUGCUGUCCAGUUUAAGAUAAUGUCAUGUAAUGCAAGCGACUGUGACUGGAUGCAAGCGCUCCCUUCUCUCAUGAUGGAUUGCAUGCUGUGACUACAUGGCUCCCGCAGACCUCAUGGACUCUCUGUCUGAUAUCAACCAGCAUCGUUCCGUGACUGAAAGCAAUCCAAUCUGAAUGUGCGAAGAUUUUUCUUUUUUUUAUUUGGUAAAAUGAGGACAGAAAGCACAUACAUAUAUCGCACCUUCUGAACUGAUUUAAUGAAUUUAUAUUGAAUGUUGCCCAUGUGUUAAUAUAAGUUUUUGGGAAGAGGA